AAUCGUCCAAUAGGGACAUGGCUCGUACAUCACUUUUCCCGUUUCUCUGCUGACCCAUGACACUCAUUUAGAACUGAUCACCUUUUUGAUUAUAGACACCCGCCACGCACCCCGUUGACCUGAUGUCUGACGCAACUCUCCCCAGAAGACACGUCUAUCCCCUCUCCUAUGCGGAGACAGAGGCCAUGGAGAACUACGUAAAGGAAAGCCUCCAGCAGGGGUUUUUUUUUUCAGCCGGCCCUGGCACCUUGGUAUCCGAGCCAGACAGAGGUCCUGUGGACGAGUGGUUUUGGCAGGAGACCUGGAAUGCUGCACACACUUGUCUCCAGCGCGCCGGCACAAGGAACACGACGACCGCCACCGCAGUGAGGUGCCUGUCAUUUUCUAUCAAGAAUGGUGCUUUUUUUGGGGUGGCUGGUCGCUGAAGGUGGGGUUCGCCCAGGGAGCCAUACAAGCUAGAACCGCCACCGUGCUCACCCAUCCACAAGAUCGUGUCCAGGGGGAAUACAACUUUUCCCAUUAAGAGCAGGUUGUCCCGAGACUCUUCUAUUAGACCAAUGUGUUUUUCUUGUGAAAGAUGCUGUUAAGCCACAUAGCCUACCUCAGCCAGUUAAGUUAUUUUAUAUGGUCCUUCGCUCUGAAAAAAUUGACUUCAAUUAAAGCCCUCUUGUUGUUUGUAAACUCAAAUUAAAAUGAAGA